ACGCUCGACACCUACUGGAGGCAGCAGUGGGGAAUAUUGCACAAUGGAGGAAACUCUGAUGCAGCGAUGCCGCGUGAGGGAAGAAGGUUUUCGGAUUGUAAACCUCUGUCUUUGGGGACGAUAAUGACGGUACCCAAGGAGGAAGCUCCGGCUAACUACGUGCCCGCAGCCGCGGUAAUCUGAGCGGGCUGGCAAGGC
rnacentral:rRNA from 1 species